rnacentral:rRNA from 1 species
AGAGUUUGAUCCUGGCUCAGAACGAACGUUAGCGGCGCGCCUAACACAUGCAAGUCGCACGAGAAAGGGCUUCGGCCCCGGUACAGUGGCGCACGGGUGAGUAACACGUAGAUCAUCUCCCCUCGAGUGGUGGAUAACUCUCCGAAAGGAGAGCUAAUACAGCAUGAGACCACGGCUUCGUUGAAGCUGCGGCCAAAGCAGCCCUCUACACGUAAGGUUGCGCUUGAGGAUGAGUCUGCGGCCCAUCAGCUAGUUGGUAGGGUAAUGGCCUACCAAGGCUAAGACGGGUAGCUGGUCUGAGAGGAUGAACAGCCACACUGGAACUGAGACACGGUCCAGACUCCUACGGGAGGCAGCAGUGGGAAUCUUGCGCAAUGGGCGAAAGCCUGACGCAGCGACGCCGCGUGAGCGAUGAAGGCCUUCGGGUUGUAAAGCUCUGUGGGGAGGAAAGAAUAAGGAUUGGCUAAUAUCCAAUCUGAUGACGGUACCUCCUUAGCAAGCACCGGCUAACUCUGUGCCAGCAGCCGCGGUAAGACGAAGGAUGCAAGCGUUAUCCGGAUUCAUUGGGUUUAAAGGGAGCGUAGGUGGCCUUAUAAGUCAGUGGUGAAAUCUCUGGGCUUAACCCAGAAAUUGCCAUUGAUACUGUAGGGCUUGAGUAUAGUUGCCGUUGGCGGAAUAUGACAUGUAGUGGUGAAAUACAUAGAGAUGUCAUAGAACACCGAUUGCGAAGGCAGCUGACGAAACUAUAACUGACACUGAGGCUCGAAAGUGUGGGGAUCAAACAGGAUUAGAUACCCUGGUAGUCCACACUGUAAACGAUGAUUACUCGCUGCUAGAGGGCAACUUUUAGUGGCUUAGCGAAAGCGAUAAGUAAUCCACCUGGGGAGUACGCCGGCAACGGUGAAACUCAAAGGAAUUGACGGGGGCCCGCACAAGCGGAGGAGCAUGUGGUUUAAUUCGAUGAUACGCGAGGAACCUUACCAGGGCUUGAGAGUUAGGGAAUAACUCUGAAAGGAGUUAGUCAGCAAUGACCCGAAACUAGGUGCUGCAUGGCUGUCGUCAGCUCGUGCCGCGAGGUGUUGGGUUAAGUCCCGCAACGAGCGCAACCCCUACCAUUAGUUGCCAGCGGUUCGGCCGGGGACUCUAGUGGAACUGCCCGCGCAAGCGGUGAGGAAGGUGGGGAUGACGUCAAGUCAUCACGGCCCUUACGUCCUGGGCUACACACGUGCUACAAUGGCUAUUACAGAGGGCAGCUACAUGGCAACAUGAUGCAAAUCUUCAAAAAUAGUCUCAGUUCGGAUUGGGGUCUGCAACUCGACCCCAUGAAGCUGGAUUCGCUAGUAAUCGCGCAUCAGCAAUGGCGCGGUGAAUACGUUCCCGGGCCUUGUACACACCGCCCGUC